GUUUUUAUUGGACAAGAUUAAUUAACAAAUUGAAGAGAAAAGAGACCUUACACAAGCUAGUUGAGAGAAACGGCAAUGGCACUUUCUAGGGGAUGUUUGGGAUCGAUCUUGGAGUUCAAAAUUUCAGAUUUAGGGAUGAUUUGAUUAAGGAAAAAUUGCAGCAAUAUAUUAAAGGAGAUGGUGCAAAAUCUUGAUGCAAAAAGAAGAAGAAGAAUAUGGUAAAAGGGGAGGUGUAGGCAAUUGCAACAAUGGAGGAAAAAA
rnacentral:lncRNA from 1 species